rnacentral:rRNA from 1 species
AGGACGAACGCUGGCGGCGUGCUUAACACAUGCAAGUGGAGCGACGAACCAGGGCUUGCCCUGGGGCAGAGUCGCGAACGGGUGAGUAACACGUGGGUUACCUGCCUCGAUGACCGGGACAACCCGAGGAAACUCGGGCUAAUACCGGAUGUGCCCGCAAGGGGAAAGGAAGCUUCGGCCUCCGCAUCGAGAUGGGCCCGCGGCCCAUUAGCUUGUUGGUGAGGUAACGGCUCACCAAGGCUUCGAUGGGUAGCUGGUCUGAGAGGACGAUCAGCCACACUGGGACUGAGACACGGCCCAGACUCCUACGGGAGGCAGCAGUGGGGAAUCUUGCGCAAUGCGCGAAAGCGUGACGCAGCAACGCCGCGUGGGGGAAGAAGGCUUUCGGGUUGUAAACCCCUUUCAGUUGGGACGAAGCUUCGCCGGUGAAUAGCCGGCCGGAGUGACGGUACCUUCACAAGAGCACCGGCUAACGUACGUGCCAGCAGCCGCGGU